rnacentral:rRNA from 1 species
AUGACAAAACCGAAAAGGGCAGGAGGAAUAGGCUUCAGGGACAUGCACCUUUUUAACAUUGCCCUUUUGGCUAAACAGGGCUGGAGGCUUAUUCAGAACCCAAAUAGUCUAUGCGCAAGGGUACUUAAAUCCAAAUACUACCUGAACAAUAAUUUGCUGGCUACCGUUUUUGUGUCUGAUGCAUCAGCAAUAUGGAGGGGGAUUGAGGCUGGUUUGGAACUACUCAAGAAGGGCAUCAUUUGGCGAGUAGGAGACGAAAGGAGCAUACAAAUUCAACGGGACUAG